rnacentral:tRNA from 1 species
UCCCUGGUGGCUCAGAUGGUAAAGCAUCUGCCUGCAAUGCGGGAGACCCGGGUUUGAUUCCUGGGUCGGGAA